rnacentral:rRNA from 1 species
GAUGAACGCUAGCUACAGGCUUAACACAUGCAAGUCGAGGGGAAACGGCAUUAAGUGCUUGCACUUUUUGGACGUCGACCGGCGCACGGGUGGGUAACGCGUAUCCAACCUUCCCAUGACUAAGGGAUAACCUGCCGAAUGGCAGACUACUACCUUAUGGUCUUCACUGACGGCAUCAGAUGUGCAGUAAAUAUUUAUCGGUUAGGGAUGGUGAUGCGUUUGAUUAGCUUGUUGGUGGGGGAACGGCCCACCAAGGCAACGAUGAGUAGGGGUUCUGAGAGGAAGGUACCCCACAUUGGAACUGAGACACGGUCCAAACUCCUACGGGAGGCAGCAGUGAGGAAUAUUGGGCAAUGGGCGAGAGCCUGAACCAGCCAAGUAGCGUGCAGGAUGACGGCCCUAGGGGUUGUAAACUGCUUUUGUAUGGGGAUAAAGUCAAUAACGUGUGAUUGUUUGCAGGUACCAUACGAAUAAGGACCGGCUAAUUCCGUG